CGCACUAACCGGGGAGCUGGCGGUGCCCUGUAACUUGCAAUCCGCUAUAGCAAGGGUGAUGUCCGAUUGAGGGUAAUAUUUGUGUGGCCGCUCUCAGGUAAGUGGCGAUGAGAAGCGGGUCCUUAGCAACACAGUGUUUGUGAACCUCGUCAGGCCGGGAACGGAGCAGCGAUAAACAAAUAUCUGGGUGUGCCUUGGGAGUGCCCGCUUUGAGUUAACUGCUUGAGCAACGCACAU
rnacentral:SRP_RNA from 1 species